GGGGAUGAUCGGCUUCGACGGGAGAGGCUGGUCCCGGAUUGCGAGUCGAGAGGUACCGAACUCGUAAAAUCAGUACAAAACAAAAGUGCCAAUCGCACACAAUAUGCAGCUUUACCCCUUGCAGCCUAAACUGUAGGGCGUUAAGCUCAGACCUCUGAAGAGGUCACGUCACCCACGCUCCGUUUGCCUGGCCGGAGAUGGAGUUGGCGUCGCAAAGUCAGGAUGCCACGCAGGAUGCCGUUAAAUGCGUGAAAGAGGGGCUUUCGGGUCCCAACGGCUGGCGAGAGGGUCGCCCGGUUGGCUGGCUAACCUCAAGCGAGAACGAAUAAGCCGACUACACUCGUAGAUAUUCGUGGGUCGAAUCUUUCGGACGCGGGUUCGAUUCCCGCCAUCUCCACA
rnacentral:tmRNA from 1 species